AUGGAGGGGAACAUGAUUACAACAGCGGGGACCGGAACCGGAGCUGACUCUGUAACCAUGGUAACAGGUCCCACUGGCACCCCGGACCUCCAGGUUCUGACCCACAGAGUGAAGCUUCUAGAGCACAGCCUGAGAGACAACGUCAGCUCCUUCACUGAGUCUGAGAGCGCUCUGCACAACAGGAUUAGAGAGUUGGAGGUGUCAGAACAGAGCCUGCUACAGAAGGUGGAGGACCUUACUGCCAACUCAGUCCUCCACUGCCCCAGCAUGCUGCAGCGCCAGAGGCUGGACGAGCGGCUCCACACGCUGAGGGAGGAGGUACGCUCCAUGUCCCAGGAGAAGGAGCGUGGGGAUCGUGUGUGGAGGGAGAGGCUGCGGCGCUGCCAGGCCCAGCUCAGGGCUAAAGAAGAGGAGAUGGGCCGCCAGUCUCAGUACUUUGAGCACUUUAAGAGCCAGCUUCACCACAAGCUAGACAUGGCCAGAGACAAGGAGCAGGGCCUUCAAACCAGACUCCACCAGCUGGAGCGACAGGUGCUGGAGAUGAACGUAUCUGCUGCCACCUACAUAGCCCCUGUCAACACAGCUAGCACCAACUCCGUUACUGCAGCCAAUGUCAAUCCCAUCAUAGUACCAACCUCAGGCCAACAGAGAACAGAGACAGAGAGACUGCCCCACCCAAGGGAGGAAGGACAAGGAGAGGAGGAGGACGGUGAGGAGAAGACACAGCGGAGACACUACGGACAACAGCUCCAGCAGAAGCAGGGAGCGGAUGAUAGAGAAAUAGAGGGAGAAAGAGAGGGGGAGGAAGAGGGUGAGAGUCUGGGGGGUGAGGCUAGACUGAGAAGCUUCAUCCUCAGCCUCCAGGAGGACCUCCGGGUUCUGCUGGAGAGGGAGGAGCAGGAGCUGGCGGAGCAGAGGGGGCUGAUGGAACAGCUGCAGGAAGCGCAGGAGAACAACCACUUCUUGUCCUGUACGUUGGAGGAGAUGAGGACGGUGGUCCACAGACUGAAGCUGACAGAGAGCUCCCUGAUGGAGGAGGUGGAGGAGCUGCAAGAGGAGAACCAGAGACUGUGUCAGAGGCUCAGCCACACCCUGAGACAGACCAACCACAGCCUGGGUUCUACUGACCCCAACCCUGUCGCUACCCCCAGCCUGGCUACCUCCCUGACAAACGCCCCUGGCCUGAGUCCGCAGAGCAGGGAACUGGUUGACAACACUGACCUGGUGAAGAUGAUCCCAGGCCAGUCUUCACUAGACACACCUCACUCUGCUCAACACCAUGGAGCAACAGAGAGGUCACAGGAAAACUCCACUCUGCCUCUGCCCCAGCCGGACCUCCUGAACCUCUCAGGCCACCGUAGCCAGAACCCCUGCCUCAUAUCCCUGGGUACUAAGAGCAUUGAGGGUCUGGGGGAGUUGACCCUGAGGGACUGGUGUCCUGGUCCUGGGGGCGUCCCCUCUCUCAACCUGGAGGAGGGGACAAGCGAGGAGACUGAGGCCCUGAGAGAGGCUUACAGGAGCAUGGGGGGCGACAUGGACUCACUCCGGGACCACAGGGACCAGCUGGAGAGCACGCUACGACACACACAGGACCAGCUGCACAGGGUGACCGAGGAGAACGCCCGACUGAAAUGUAAACUCAGGGCGCAGGGAGAAACAGGGGCCUGCGAGGUGGAGCAGGGGUCCUCGCUUGUAGGCGAGAGCAUGACAAAUGUCCAGGAAAACAAGGUGCCAACUCCAAACCUAAUACCCCAGGGGAGCAGAGAGCUCACUGCAACUCCAUAUCAGAAUGAUACUAUCCUAGCCUUAGCCCAGGAUGACCUGUCCCUGUAUGCCUUAGCCCAGGAUGACCUAGCCCUAGCCUUGAACCAGGAGAACCGGGCCCUGGGCAGGCGUAUCCAGGAGCUCCUAGCCCACAUAGAGCGCCAGGAGGGGGAGAGUGAGAGGGAGCUAGUCCAGCUCAGGCUGCAGGUGUCCCUGCUAGAGAGGGAGAGCACCAGGCUGGAGCAAGAGAACCAGGAGCAGGGAGGUCUCAUCACUGAACUGACCAGGAAGACUGAGGAUGACCUCAACACUAUCAUAGAGCUGCAGGAAAGACGGGUUGAGAGCAGUCAGCUAGGCCUACAGCAGGAGGACCGUUUGACCACGGAGUCAACGUGCAGGCUUCGAGAGAACAGGGACGAGCUGAUUGUCUAUCUCAGUGAUCUCAAAGAGGAAAGAGAACAGGUGUCCCUCUCACUUAGCAGUCAGACAGAGGAGAAACACCAGCUAACACGCUCCAUGUGGGUUCUGAAAGAAGAACGCGACCAGAUCCAUAAGUCACUCUGCGGUUUAAAAGAAGAGAAAGAACAGCUGACAAGGUCCCUCUGUGGUCUGAAAGAUGAGAGAGACAAGGUGAUGCGGUCAAUGUGUGGUUUAAAAGAGGGGAGAGACCAGCUAGUUCAGUCAAUGUCUGGACUCCAGGAGGAGAGAGACCAGCCAGUUCAGUCAAUGUCUGGACUCCAGGAGGAUAGAGACCAGCCAGUUCAGUCAAUGUCUGGACUCCAGGAGGAGAGAGACCAGCCAGUUCAGUCAAUGUCUGGACUCCAGGAGGAUAGAGACCAGCCAGUUCAGUCAAUGUCUGGACUCCAGGAGGAGAGAGACCAGCCAGUUCAGUCAAUGUCUGGACUCCAGGAGGAGAGAGACCAGCUAGUUCAGUCAAUGUCUGGACUCCAGGAGGAGAGAGACCAGCUAGUUCAGUCAAUGUCUGGACUCCAGGAGGAGAGAGACCAGCUAGUUCAGUCAAUGUCUGGACUCCAGGAGGAGAGAGACCAGCUAGUUCAGUCAAUGUCUGGACUCCAAGAGGAGAGACACCAGCCAGUUCAGUCAAUGUCUGGACUACAGGAGGAGAGAGACCAGCCAGUUCAGUCAAUGUCUGGACUCCAGGAGGAGAGAGACCAGCCAGUUCAGUCAAUGUCUGGACUACAGGAGGAGAGAGACCAGCUAGUUCAGUUAAUGUCUGGACUCCAGGAGGAGAGAGACCAGCUAGUUCAGUCAAUGUCUGGACUCCAGGAGGAGAGAGACCAGCUAGUUCAGUCAAUGUCUGGACUCCAGGAGGAGAGAGACCAGCUAGUUCAGUCAAUGUCUGGACUCCAGGAGGAGAGAGACCAGCUAGUUCAGUCAAUGUCUGGACUCCAGGAGGAGAGAGACAAGCUCUCGCAGUCAAUGUCUGGACUCCAGGAGGAGAGAGACCAGCUAGUUCAGUCAAUGUCUGGACUCCAGGAGGAGAGAGACCAGCUAGUUCAGUCAAUGUCUGGACUCCAGGAGGCGAGAGACCAGCUAGUUCAGUCAAUGUCUGGACUACAGGAGGAGAGAGACCAGCUAGUUCAGUCAAUGUCUGGACUCCAGGAGGAGAGAGACCAGCUAGUUCAGUCAAUGUCUGGACUCCAGGAGGAGAGAGACAAGCUCUCGCAGUCUCUCUUCAGCCAAAAAGAUGAGAGAGACCAGUUGAUGCAGUCAAUGUGUGGUUUAAAGGGACAGAGGGACCAGCUAACACAGACACUCAGCCGUCUAGAGCAGGAGAGAGACAAGCUGUCAUCUCUCAGUCUUCAAACACGAGAGAGGUACCAGGUGGACCAGUUUGUCUCUGAUCUAAAAGAAGAGAAGGAGCAGCUAGUUCAGUCAAUGGAUGUUCUGAGAGAACAGAGAGAACAGCUCACAGAGGAGAGAGACCAGUUGCAGAUGGACGUCGCUACUCUACGGAAUCAGCUGCUGUUACAGGGGUGGAGCCACAACCAGCAGCCCUCAGAGAACCAUGUUGGCAAGGCAACACGCACAGAGGUUGUGGCUACAGAGAGAGGGGGUCAGAUGCCAAAAACGCAUGAUGAUGGUGAUGUCACUCAUAGAUGCCUGGCCACGGUCUACUCCUACAAGACCAUCCGUCUGGCGCAGUCUGCACAGGACCAUUUGGGAGAGAAAGAGGGAACAGAUGUGGAGCAGAGUGGACUGAUGAGGGAGAUCGAGUCGCUGGGGUUAGAACUCAGAAGCUCACGAGAGGUACUGAAGAAGACCCAAUCAGAGAGUGUUGCUCUGAAGGAGCUGAGUUCAGAGUACACAUCUCUGAAGAGAGAGCAGGGCAGCAGAGAGGACUGGAGCAACACACUCACCUUACUGAGGGUGCGCUAUGAUGACAUCAGAGCUAAGUACAACGUUCUCCUGAGAAAGAGUCAGACGGACCAGGACAUAGCUCCUCUAAAGGCCAAGCUGUCAUGUCUCGUGGGGAAGUGCCAGCAGAGGAACAGUCUACUGGUGCAGUUGAUGCGAGCCCUGCGUCGGUAUGGCUGCCUGGACUACAAUCUGACCCAGGAGGCUGAGGACCUGCUUAACGACACAGCGCUGCAGGACUACGCCAGCACCUUCACACCCCCAUCCGCUGCAGCUCUGCAGGAGAACACCCCCCUUCUCCCACCUGCAGCCUCAGAACGACCGGAGCGCUCACAGACCUCUGCUGCAGCCUCCACAGCACAGGAGCUGAGUAAAGCUGUGUCUGAAGGCAGUAGGAGGGAACACUUCAGAGUGUGUGUGGCCACAGCAGACUACUGCCCCUCUCCGAACAUGCCUCACACUCUACUGCCAAUGGUAGUUGGAUUUAGAAAUAAUAAAACUCUCAGUUUCUGUGGCACAGAGUAUUCCGUCACAGAGCAUUGUUUUAAUGAAUAUAAAUACAUGAUAACAAAUGAUAUCUUGUUGCAUGUCUUAUACAGUAGGCUUAUAUUAUCCACACAUUUCUGUUACAGCUUCCCCUUUCUGCGGGUGAAUCAGUCCAAGUCACUGGACUCCCAGACAGACGUGGGAUGUACCAUGCCGAGGUGA
ensembl:lncRNA rootletin-like